UUUGUUUUCUUUCUUCUGUUAUUAUUGGUGUCUACUGGAUUGUCCUGAGGAGCCAGAAAAGAUAUGGAAAUAAAUCACAUUCUUCCAUCAAUAGUAGGUUCCGUUGCUGUUUGCGAGACCCUCCUCCUGUUUUACCUCUUUGCAAUCACUGGUAUCUUAAUUGUGUAAAGCAGAGAAAACACAAAAAGCACAGGAAAAACCAAAGUGUGCAGAGUGACUCUAACGGCAGGUUUUUGAGGGACUACCAUUGAUGAAAAAAAGAUCUCCAUAAACCUGAAAAUGACAACUACUGCAAUAUGGAGGUAGCAUAGUGACAAGAGCAAUACAUGAGACUCAGUCCUGGCUUCAUCAAUCAGUUGGCAACCAUCAUUAUGCACAGAAUCAGCAUCACCUGGACCAGUGCAAACAAUGUCAGUGAAGAUGAUGAGGGUCAUGGGAAGGGCCGCAAGGGGGCACUCGAGCAGAAAAGUAAAGAAUGACACUGGUGGAAUAUGUGUGUCGAGCAAGAGACUUUUACUGGCCCUGUUAGCACUGCACUGGCGCGUUCCUGCCGUCUAACUGGCAUCUCAGUGCUAUUUACCGGCAUGUCCGCUUCCUCCCACAUUCCAAUAACAUGCACCAGUGGAGACUACAUUUUGUGGGAAUGUGACUGCAACUGUCUAUGUGGCUUGCGAUUGACUGGGCCACCAGUCAAUAGACCAGUACACCCAGCCUCUUCCCAGAAGUCAGUUGAGAUACACUCCAGCAGACCUGCAACCCUAUGAGGAUAAUUGCUAAAGAAAAUCGGAGGGAUUGAUAGAAAAUCCUUCAAGAGGACACUCAAAUUCAGUUCAUUUGCAAGCAUACCUCACCACUCACAUGCUAACUUUGCAUACGUUUGAAACAUGUUAGCUGACUUUACAGUCUUUUUUUUUUUUAUAGAGAUUAAUGUACAUAGUCAAUAAAAUUAAAAACGUCAUACAAUGGAUGCUUUAUAUAUGAUACUAUAUCACACAACUCGAAUGUACCAUCAGGCAAAGUACCUCUAAUUUGUCAGCGAGCUGAUUCAUUUGAAUUGAAACACCACAAACUGGAUCAAGGAGUUAAUGAGUGUUUUGAACUUUUCUCACACCCUAAUGACAUUUGAACAUUUUGACAUUAGAAAGUCUGCAACACCUGCAACAUACAGGCCAAACCUCAUCCUAAUACAGUAUUUCCAAGUGACAAGACACUACUGGAUCAGAUCGAAGACAACCUCAAUUAGCAUUAAUGGAGGCACCUUAAAGCUUUUAAAAGCACUUUUAACGGGCAUUUAACUUGAUUGAUUAAAUCGCCGUUGACACUAAACAAUUAGUCCCACAUCUAAAAAUAACUGACUCAAAUUAUAAUCACACUCAGCAACAUGAUCUUGAUUCAGAGCGACAGGGUAAAGUUUAAAUGGGAUCAAUCAAAUGCAGAUGUGACAUUUAACACCAACAGUCGAGGCCCAGAUGCCUGGAGACGAAAGUCACGUUUGAAUGUGCAAACUCCGGAGAGCCACUUGCGUUCACUUGCAGGCUCGGGAUGCAACAUUCUCCAUAAAAGAAUGAACAGUAAUUUGUAUCUGUGGUUUAAAAUUUGAUUACAUUUAAUUCCAACUCGUCGAAACGAACUACAAUGCAAAUCUACCAAAAUUAAAAACAAACAUUUACAAGUGGUUUGAAAUACAGUAAGGGGUUGGCCAUAAGAAGUGAACCUAAAUAACUGAUUAAGAAUUCUGUGAUGAUUAAUUAUGCUCACGUUUGUGUGGACAUUAUAUAUCCCAGCAUAAACACGGCCUCCGUGUCUUUGUCGAACGUACAAAACCCCGUGACCUUCUCUGGCCUUUCUGAAUUUACAUCAUAGCCAAACGUCUGCAUGUUUCAUAAGCCCCGAGGACAAGCAGAUGUGCUCUGGUUUGCACCAUUCUGGUCAGCCAUAGUGGGAAGCCCGAGACAAAAAUGCAAGCGGCAGCACUUUGUGAUGCUUCACGCGCGUGUUUGCCAUGUGUGUCGGUUGCUAAAAAUAAGGAGAGUAUUGGGGAACAAAGGUAAACUUAUUUUAUAUUCAGCAUGGAAUCUCAGUGCUGGCAAUCAACUUUUAGUGCCCUCAAGCAAACAAAUGUUCCAUAGUCUGCCAUCCUCAAACCUUUAGAUCUUUGUGAAUGUCAGCAAUAUUAUCUUCCCGCUCCAGUCCACGUUACAGGUCCGAAUGCCCGGCCGGCGCGCACCAAUUAAAUCUCAAGACACUGCCGCAUCUGUGAUGAAGCUUACCACUAGAAGGGUAAGGCACAGAAGAAAAGACUCUGGGGCUGAUCGAUGGUCUGACUAGGCAAAUAUCAGGCCUGACCACAGGGCGGCAAAACAUUGUGUCUGAAAGCGAGAAAUCAUCCUGCCGUGGCGGGCCAGAUCUGGUAAAUGCUGAUGAGCUGCUUUGAAAAGGUCUCACCAUUUGGGAUAGUCAAUGUGUCGGACAUCAACUGCAUGCUUUAUUCAAGAGAAACCAGUUCAGAACGGAUCGUGUUAUUCAUCUGAUUCCACAUCCUAGUUAAAAGGACAAUCUACAGUUCUCAGGGAAGACUUGAUUUAUUCGCUCUUCUGCAUGCCAACCUCAAAUUUUUCAUUUUUUUUAAGUAAAAGUAGCCUACAGUUACUAUGUCUACACAUCCCUGUGCACGUGCCAGGUUUUUGUGAUAUAAAAACAACGGACCAAGAUCAAACAUUUCAAAACUUUCAUACUCCACCAUUAAUGGGAUCUAAAAUGUACAAAAAAAACAUUUCCAAGAGGAAUCAUGAAAAUAAACGGAUAACUCAGUUGCACAAGUGUGCACACAUUAAUAAUUGGGGUUCUGUUCAGUUAACCAAUCCCAUUCAAACUCAUGUUAAAGGAGAGCUAAACCAAAAAAAAUGUUCAAAGCAAGAAUACAUUGUUUUGCCAGCGCUGGUACACACAAGGGCAACAUAUUAGUGACGCCUGAUUUAAAUAAACAAUAACUGAUAAUGAAGAUAAACAUUUAAAAUACAGUACAGCCUCGGUUUUCGACCACAAUCCGUUCCAGAAGGUAGUUCGAGAAGCGAAGAAGAAUUUGUUUGAAAACUGAAUCGCUAUUUCCUAUUACAGAUGUGGCUACCAGGACACGUCUGCAUACAGAGGCUGCAUUAUACACAAUAACAACACGCGCUGUGGAUCAGCUGGUCAGGCCACGCGCAUUGUUAUUUCUGGGAUUUUUCGCAGUGCGUUCGAAUUCACAAUGACAACCCGCGUCGUGCGUCAGCUGGUCGGGCAGCACGUGUUGUGUUAUUGCCGGGUUUUGUCCGGGGCGUUCGAGUAUCGAUUUUCGUUUGAAAACAGAAGCAAAAAAACCUUGAAAUUUUCGUUCGAAAACCGAUUUGUUCGAGAACGGAGACGUUCAAGAACCGAGUAUUCACUGCAUAACCCAGUUUUGACAGCUUGGGCUUAUUCCCCUUUAAAUGGAGUCAUCACACAACUCUGUUGACCUCAAAAAGUUUGGAAUGUUCUAGCAUGAUUUUUGCAGUCACAUCUUACACAAAAGUGGUAGAGGGCAAAUCUGCUCAAUUACAAAACAGGAUCUAAAAGAAUUCUUGGUUAAAACUAAACAGUGCUAUCACAAUUUACAGGAAAUGCAUAUUCAAAUCUGAGCGAAUUACAGACUGUUUUGAGUUCUGAUUAUCCGUCAUUGAAUGUUAUGUCCAAUGGAGGAAUACAGAGCAGUCAGUGUUGUAAGUCAAUAACAAAAUCUAAGGGUCGCAGGUGGAUAAGAAUGACUUAAAAAAAAAAGCUGAUCUACAGGAUAGGAAGCAGAGAUAAAAUUGUGAUGUAAUUAGGUAAAGAAGAAGACCAAUGGCCAAUUUGAUGACCGGCUGUGUACGUUGACCUCUUAGUCUAAGUGCCAGUGGAGGGCAGCCAGCUUUACACAGCGUGUCCAAACAGAUGGCGAAGGCAGCCAGACAUCACCCUAGCCAACAUUCCUCCGACACAAGCAGCGCUACUGAAGACAACCUGUGGUGCUGCCACCUGUUUUGAGAACGCUGCAUAAUUAAACAACAGCCACCCAAGUCAGCACAACCCAAUAACUCAUUUACACGGCAUCCCUUUUGGAGCACCUACAGUAGUACGGCCCUUCAUCAUAGGGCGAUAAAAAGAUUGUUCACUUUCUUUUCCCUUUUUUACCCUCCAGUUGACUACACACAUACAGUUCAAUAAAUCAGUUUAUUGCAUGACCUAAAUAAGACCUUCACAGCUCCUGAGGAAGUGUUGAAAAACAAAAUAUAAAAACUUUGGUAUUACUUAACGUAAGUAUGCAACAGAGAUGGUCAUGUAGCCAUUCAUGAUGUAACACCUAAUUGACCCAAGGUCCCUUGACCUUUAACAUUGAUUCAUCUUGUCACCCACACUCACUCUCGUUUGAUUUCUUUUGUCCCCACUGCUACAACCAGACUUGAGUCGCUGUUUUUUGAAAUUAUCAUUUCAGCUCCUCCCGCCAGGAAGUGCAGGAAUAUAAUUUUACAAUAUAGUAUUUGAAAAACCAGUUCCUUAAAUGGGGAAAAUGAAAAGAGUGAACAAUGAUUUUUGUUUAUGUUC